CUUAUUGCUUUCUCUUCCCGAUUUUUAAAGAUUUUAUUUUGUAAAGUAUACUUUUCCUUUACAUUAUCAAAGAAGAAUUACUUGAUACAAACAGAAGAAAAUCUUGAUACAUAAAAUCGUCCAUUAAAAUUCAAUAACAAGUUUCAAUCAACAAACAUUAUCCUUUUGAUCUCGAUAUCGCGUUACACGUAUAAAGUAAAUAAACAGAGAUCGCCUUAUAAACUCUCCCUAUUAAACAUCUAAUAAUCAAGCAAUCGAAGCGGAAACACGCGAAAAUUAUAAAAACAAGAGAAUGAGUCUAUGCAGAGGGGAAACGGCUCACGCAACCCCGACAAAUAGAGGGAAUUAAAAGUAAUCACGCGCAUAUUUACGCGGCCGAUGAACAGAAUGGUUGCGUCAACCGCAAAAAUGUAACUGCACGCGAGCGCAGGUGUAUGCGUUCGAUUGUCGAGUGUGCAACGAGAGGGUGGUGUAGACCAGGAAGGGGAGGAAAGGGAUGGAACAACACACGCGGAUGAAAAUGGUCUCUCCACUGGUUCUGAUAUGGCUCGUACAUUGGAAUCGCUUGGAUAUGGGUGGAGUGAAACCGGAUGUGGGAGCGGGAAAUAGAAGGGAAGAGAAAAUACGAGGGUAGGUGGAAAUGUGUAGAAAUAAGAUUGUGUGAACGAAGGGAUGAAUUGUUGAUGAAAAUUGAUGAGUAAGUAAAAAGGAAAAAAAGAGAAAUAUAUAAUAUUUCUUCAUACAUUUAUAGGUUAUUUGAAACUUGAAGAAACUUUUGACACAAGAUAGUAUGAUCAUGAUAAUUUGAAUUUAAUUGAAAUAUAAAGAUUAAUUUUGUACGUUUAAAUUCAUUUCUAUGAGAAUUUAUAGUGUAGAUAUAGUUUGUUAUUGAGAAUGCUUAAUUGAAAGAUAUAACGAAAAUAUAACUCAACAUGUCGUCUAGUAGCGUCUACUUUAUCGUUAUCAAAUGUUCUUGUGUAAAGUGACAAAUGGCCUCUGAAAAAGCUAACCGUAAUAUCUUAACCUUAAAAUAGAAUUCUUAAAAAAUUCACAGGAAGCUCUAAACAAUAACAAAUUUCAAAAUAAACUAGAUCGUAAAAAUCUCUAUCAAAUUUACGAUACGAGGUUGUUGCCGAUGAAUUAAACGAAGGCUGUAUGGUUAAGAGUCAAACAAAAUCGUGGAUUUACGCGGAGAUGACGCCUAUCAUGGAAACGACAAUGAACCUUUGGUAGUUUUCACGAGCGCAGGGGAUAAGCGAAGCCUCGUAAAUUAGCCACGCCGCAUCAAGCCCGAUAAUUAAGGCGAAGCGCCGUUAAAGACGCCGGGGCCACGCUGUUUCGGAACUUGGCCAUCAUCCAACGAAAGAGAGACGUGUGUGCCAGGAACACGUGCGUGAAGUUGCCUCACCCGUGAAUCACGAGCUCGAAGCGGAUCCGCGCCGAUGAAUUUCUGGAGCGGGCCGCGCGUGUAUCCGAUGAAAUCGUACGUGGCAAGUGUUGUGUGCGUCUUGGAAACGCCGGAGCUCGAGAAUAAUUCCCUCUCGUUACCGAGAAAUCAUUAAGUUCUGUUCGUGAAACGCCGGUUUGAUGAUUUGAGGACCCUUGCAAUUAGUUUGUUUGGAUAUUUAUGGUUCUACUCGUCAUGUUUCGUGAAGUUUUCCAUGAAAAAGGAGUUAGUGCCAUCUAUCGUGUGAAAUAAUAUAUACUUAUAAUAUGAUUCGUAUCAUAAUGUAAGGAAAGAAGAUGAAAAAACAUGCACUGUACAAUGAAACCUAAUCUCCAAAUUGAUUCAUGCCAUCUAUCAUAUCAAAUAGCAAUAUACUUAUAAUAUAACUCAUAUCAUAAUGUAAGAAAAGAAGAUAAAGAAAUACAUACUGUACAGUGAAACUUUCAUAAAAUGAAACCUAACCUACAAAUUGAUUCAUGCUAUAUUAUCAAAUGGCAUUAUAUACUUGUAAUAUAACUCAUUAUUAUAAAAUAAAAAAGAAAGUACCAUCUAUCUAACCAAAUACCAAUUAUAUAUUCAUUAUCAUCAUAUUCCCGCAAAAUUUGCAGUAUACUCGUGAAAUUUAACAUGUAUCUCGAACCGUGCCAGAUUUAAUUCCCAAAAGAAACCAACAAUCAGAUUGAAACGCAAAAUCAGUUGAAUUAUUGUCAUUGAUAAAUACAUAUAGAAGCUUCUAUCGUAUUUCACGUAACAUCGUUGGAAUGGAAGUUGACCGAGAGAUUUUAUCUUCUACUUCAUAAAACGAGGCGGAUUUCGAUCUUCUUGUAAGCGCGCAUUUGUAUAGGCUGAUCUACCCAAUUGGAACCACUUGGCUGACGUUUGUGAAGUUGCCAAGAGGGAUUCUCUGGCAUUGGACGAGCGAAAAAAAGGAAAUAAAUGCCGGAAAAUAAAAUUAAAAAAACGUGUAUCAAGUGGAAAAUGCGUGUUUAUCUUUGAAUUUAUUUUUUUUAUAUAUAUUUUUUUUAAGUUAUAUUAAUUGAAAAAUCUUAUGAAAGAGGAAGUAUUAUAUUCAUUACAGAUUAUUAUUUUUUUCAAAUAAUAUAAUUUUAAGUAGUUUAAUAAAAUAUAUAUUGUAUGUUCUUAAAGGAUUUUCGUUAUAAAAAUUUAUUAUCAAAAUUAAUCACCAGAAGAUUACAGGCUGGAUAAAUUGGCAGCUUCGUUCGUUUCGAUUUAAUAGCACCAGAUUUUUUCUUUGAGAGAAGAAAAGCAAAAAUAGAACGGAUAUAUCCAUCUGGAAGAAAGCAAAAUAAAAUCGGCUUAAAGACCACUCUUAAUAAUUCAACGUAAAGGAAGAUUCUGCCAAGGUGUCUGACCAGACACGUCUUCCUCUACUUGAACAUCAGAAAAACUAUCUCUUAUUCAAAGAUUAACACCUUGUGUCCCAAUGGGAAAAAAGAAACGAUAAAUAGUCGGAAGAAGCCUAGAUAAGAGUUCUUCAAAUGAAAAGCUAGAAUUCUAGAUCAAAAGAAGACCAAGUUUAAUUCUUUGAUUUAGUGGAUCUUGCAGAGUUUGAACAUACAGUCAUUCACAUUAAUACUUUAACACCAUUAUCAUUUUGAAUUUUAUCAUCACAAUAUUAAUAUGACAAAAUGGUAGAUAACAAUAAUCUCAAAAAUAUAUAUAUGAUAACACAUCUCACAAAAAAUGGCAAUAUAGUUAUGAAUGGGGAAAAUAAAAAGAAUAACGUAAUAAAAUAAAAAGUAAAACAUAGAGAUGGUGCCAUAUUAUAGUUUAACGCCAUUAAUAAGAAUUUUAGACAGCCAUGAAUGAAAGAAAAUAGUUGAAGAACUCCAGACAAGAAAAGCCAAGGAUGUAUCGCGGUUUAUCUCAUUCACGGUAAAAUUUAAAUCUAACCGAGGAGUCUGAGGAGUUUCAUCCUUCGUCGAGAGAGCUGUCCUCGCGUAGGAGGUCCGCAAGGUGAGCAGAUUGUCGGUUGGCUAUCGGAAAUAUUUCCCGGCUCCGAGAAUUUAUCGGGCGUCUGCCCGGAAAUAUUUGAAAAUUCCUUCGACGCUCGCUGCGAAAACGGCGACCAUAGAGAACAGAGCCGUUGGAAGAGGUGUGUGGGUGGAUAUGGAGGGGAGGCAUCUGGAUCUAGGAUAUUUUUCACACCUUAAUUAGUACAGAUAGAUUGAAAACAGUAAAAUGUUAGAAAACGUAAAUUUGAUUUUGUGAAAAUUUCUGGAUUGUUUUUAAUUGAGAUUCUUGGAUAAGAUUUGAUUGUAAUAUUAUGAUUGUGUAAUGGAGAAUGAAUAAUUAUUAAUAUAUGGAGAAAAAAAAGAAAAGAACAACUAAAAGAAGAAAAAAGCUAUGAUUGAUCAAACUAGUGACGUGAGUGAGAAUGAAGAGAAACGAGAGAGACUCGAUAGCCCUGAGAGGACAUACCACUCUCGGUAAUAUAAGGUGGCGGAAUAGAUUACGACCCUUCACCCUCGAUAGUACUUCUCUGCUCUGUUGGGGACGGUCGCCGCCCUUAUUGCGAAAGACCACGAGUUUAUUGCGAACGACUGUGCGCCUCGUUCACCACCUACCCGAUUUAUGGGGAUAUAUAAGCGCAUACCACCGACAAAUUUCCCCAUAAUAACGUGGACCCACCAUAAUGUCCUUUCAUCAACACUUUUCUCGAUUUUACUUGUGGACGUUCAGUUAUCCAAAAAUAGAACGUUUCCAUGAUCGUAAUUGCGUAUCGUUUUCAAAGGAUUCCCGAUAGAUUGUAGAUCCAAGGUGGUGAUGAUUACUGUAACUGUAAACUGUUUUAUACCAUGGAUUAUGAAGUUGAAAGAUAUGUUUAGUUUUCCAGUUUAAUUUGUUUCAUGAAGAGAAGAGUCUAUUUUAGAAUUAUUGAAUAACGUGAUAUUUGGUGAGAUUUUUACUGAUGACAAAUUAAAAUGUACUAAUAAACUUUCAAAGAUUUGAGUAGAGCUGCAAAUUAAGAUACAAGAAAAAGAAAACAACUAUUUAAAAUUUUAUUUAAUUGCCGAAUAUUUUAUUUAACUUACUUUCAUUCGACCAUUUUCUACGCCGAAAAUGAAAAGUUAUUACCUGCUUUUUUAAUACGAACCAGUGCGUGCUUUCAAAUAUGUACACUCAGAAAUGUUGGAUGAAAAACUUGCAACCGUGUUCAUUUCAUCAGAACAGUAUGCCAAAAAGAAUGUUACACAACAUGAGAACGAACACAACCUGAAAGCAAGAUUACACGAAGCACGUGUUUAUUCGUAUUUUUUUCCUCGUAUUCAUAUAUAUAUACGUAACAAUCGUUUGGAUAGAAUUUACAUUAUAAAGUUGACAAUUAACCGAUCUGAUUAAUUUGCAUUUUCCUUGGAACAAGGUUGAAUCGAUAGAAUGGCGACUGUUCGAUUCUUUUCGUAGCGGAAUCGUCAUUGAAAGUACACACGAACGAGGUCGGAGAUUGCUUCGUAAAUUCUUUUAAUACUCGACCUUCUGUUCGGUAAAAGGGCGGCCGAGAAGGGGUGACUUUACGGAUCAAGGGUGCCGAGCAACAAGUGUGAUUCUAAGGGGGUGCUUCAGGGUCGUCACACGGCGGUGCUCAUUGUGGAUUUAUCGAUUUACCGCGUUGAAACAACAUUCAUAUUUAAACAGAACCAAUUCUUCUCGUUCUACCCACAUGCACGUUUUAUAUUCAGAAAAUUUCCAAAGUGAAGAUAUUUAUUCGAACGAUAUAAUACAACAUUCCUUAUAGAAAA